rnacentral:rRNA from 1 species
AACGAACGCUGGCGGCAUGCUUAACACAUGCAAGUCGAACGGCAAGGCCCUGCUUUUGUGGUGUGCUCGGGUGGCGAACGGGUGAGUAACACGUGAGUAACCUGCCCUUGACUUUGGGAUAACUUCAGGAAGCUGGAGCUACUACCGUAUAGGAGCUCCUGCUGCAGGGUGGGGGGUGGAACGUCUCGGCGGUUGGGGAUGGACUCGCGGCUUAUCAGCUUGUUGGUGGGGUAGUGGCUUACCAAGGCUUUGACGGGUCGCCGGCCUGGGAGGGUGACCGGGGACAAUGGGCCUGAGAGACGGCGCAGACUCCAACGGGAGGCAGCAGUGGGGAAUAUUGUACAAUGGGCGGAAGCCGGAUGCAGAGACGCCGCGGGUGGGAAGACGGCCUGCGGGUUGUAAACCGCUUCCGCCUGUGACGAAGCGGGAGUGACGGUAAUGGAUAAAGAAGCACCGGCUAACUACGUG